CCUACGGGAGGCAGCAGUGGGGAAUAUUUGACAAUGGGGGGAACCCUGAUCCAGCGACGCCGCGUGAGUGAAGAAGUAUUUCGGUGUGUAAAGCUCUAUCAGCAGGGAAGAAAAUGACUGUACCUGACUAAGAACCCUCGGCUAACUACGUGCCAGCAGCCGCGGUAAUACGUAGGGGGAAAGCGUUAUCCGGAUUUAAUGGGUGUAAAGGGUGCGUAGACGGUGCAGCAAGUCUGAUGUGAAAGGGCGGGGCUCAACCCCGGGACUGCAUUGGAAACUGUUGAACUUGAGUACAGGAGAGGUAAGCGGAAUUCCUAGUGUAGCGGUGAAAUGCGUAGAUAUUAGGAGGAACACCAGUGGCGAAGGCGGCUUACUGGACUGUAACUGACGUUGAGGCUCGAAAGCGUGGGGAGCAAACAGGAUUAGAUACCCGUGUAGUC
rnacentral:rRNA from 1 species